UGAAUGGAUGUUUUCACAUCCACUGAGAUGAUCAUAUAGUUUUUAU
rfam:Gorilla gorilla gorilla genomic chromosome, chr5, whole genome shotgun sequence